rnacentral:rRNA from 1 species
AUUGAACGCUGGCGGCAGGCCUAACACAUGCAAGUCGAACGGUAGCACAGAGAGCUUGCUCUCGGGUGACGAGCGGCGGACGGGUGAGUAAUGUCUGGGAAACUGCCCGAUGGAGGGGGAUAACUACUGGAAACGGUAGCUAAUACCGCAUAACGUCGCAAGACCAAAGUGGGGGACCUUCGGGCCUCACACCAUCGGAUGUGCCCAGAUGGGAUUAGCUAGUAGGUGGGGUAAUGGCUCACCUAGGCGACGAUCCCUAGCUGGUCUGAGAGGAUGACCAGCAACACGGGAACUGAGACACGGUCCAGACGCCUACGGGAGGCAGCAGUGGGGAAUAUUGCACAAUGGGCGCAAGCCUGAUGCAGCCAUGCCGCGUGUAUGAAGAAGGCCUUCGGGUUGUAAAGUACUUUCAGCGGGGAGGAAGGCGGUGGAGUUAAUAACUUCACCGAUUGACGUUACCCGCAGAAGAAGCACCGGCUAACUCUGUGCCAGCAGCCGCCGUAA